AGAUCAGGGAGUCCAAACGGGUCGCACCCACCUGCCAGGCUGCCACCCGCAAUCCGCAACAGGGACACCGGGCACAGCCCACAAGAUGAGCAGCGGCGGCGACAGCUUCAGGCCCGGUGUUCACUACUAGGCCUGGUACGCCAGUACGGUGUCGUCAUCAAGCUCAACUCCGGCGUCGACUACCGAGCAAACUGAAGAAUACGUCAAUGGUCAGCUGAAGAAAGAAGAAGGUGAUGCCUUCAUAAGAGGAAAUGGUGGUGCGGAUUAUAUGAUGUGAAUAUUCUGAGAUCUAUGUCGGGCAAAUUCUUGUAGCAGUCUUCUGAAUAUGCAGUUCUGUACAUCAGUAUACCCAAGCGUACCCUUGCAGACAAUUAGGAAGAUGGUGAAAGCCAAAACUGCUGCUAUAAAAAAACACAAGCCGAUGGAUUAAAGCCGCAGCGAACAGGCUUUAGCGCCGGUCUGGCAAAACUUGGUCGUUUAUGAGAGACUUUAAUAUAUUGUACUUUUUUGUUAUCA